ACCACGUGGUGAGAGAGAUGGUCAGGUUGUUGUGCUCCUACACAUAGAGACUAGAUGGACUAAUGUGGGACUUCAGUCCCGUUGAAGUACUCAACUUAAACCACUGAACUACCAGGCAAUACUAGAGCAGGAUGGCCUAGACUGGUCUACCAGGGAACGUUGGUGCUGGUUGGCCUAGAAUGGACUAAAUUACCAACCAAGCAACGGUCGAGCUGGCUGGCCUAGAGGGAGGUCAGAGGUCAAAAGUGGAAGGCGGCAAAUGGCUUUGGCUAAGAUGGACAACACUGAAAUGAGGGGCUGAAGUGGGUGUGGCCUUUUGUCUGGGGGUGGAGCAGUCCUUUCAGGACGCAAAGCUGCAUGGGACACAGUGCCACCAAUUGGAAAUGGACACAACAACAUUUUAUGGGCAGAAGGAACAGGAAGAGUUGUACAACCCCCUGAGCUAGCAGAUGUGGGAGCAAGUGUCAACGUUGUCCUCCGCCUGGCCCAGCCUAUACCCAAUCGAGAGAACUACAAGCUCUUCUUCGACAACUGGUUUACGAGUGUCCCUCUUGUGCUCACAUUGGCUCAGCAGGGAAUUCACUGCACUGGUACUGUCCGUGGCAACAGACUACCAGGCGUCAACUUGAUGUGCGAUGCUGAGCUGAAGAGAGCAGGACGUGGAUCUUUUGAACAGAAGAUGGCCAUGGUUGGGGAAACCACGUUGUGAAGUGGUACGAUAACCGCUCAGUGACCCUUCUGAGUGAUUACACUGGAGCCCACCCAGGAGGAGGAGAAGAGGAGAAAAGGACCCGCUGCUCCAAUUCCAGUCCCUGAUGUGCUCCUGGAUGCCACAGCCCACUGGAUAAUUAUGGUUGAAAAGAAGGGAAAUGCAAGGUUCCAGGGUGCACAGGUACACCAAAAGCCAAGUGCCAGAAAUGUGCUGUCCACCUCACAUCCACCAGCAACUGCUUCGUGAGGUUCCUCACAGAAUAGGAAAUCAGAGUGUGCUUUGUCAAAAAGAGAAACACUGAUUCAAACAAUAACACACACACACACACACACACACACACACACUCACACACUCACACUCACACUCACACUCACACUCACACACACACACAGUCAUUUUGAUGUUGGUUUAUAUGUAAUGUGAGAAACAUUUAUACUGGAGGUGUUAGUUGUAAUUAGUAGUAGUUUGUUUAUUUGAAUUAUUUGGUAUUUUGACUUUAAAGCUGCUAAUUGUGAUUGGUUGGAACCAUUUGUGGUUGAUGUUUGUCGAAACAAAAAAAAAUUCUAAUGCAUAUAUUGCUUGUUAUCCUUAUACCCAAUAUCUGAUUGGGUGGGGAGGGGGAGGGGGGUGCAGACUACAGUUACUGAUGUUAUUGGGAAACCCAGACUUAGUUUAACAACCACUGCCUUUCCAUUGUGUAGACAGCCAGCCACUGAAUCCACAUGGCCAUUUUAGUCCUGCACUCAAUAAAAACCCUCAACCUUCCUGGGCCACACAAAACCGCUUACAGUGUUUACCCCCAAUUGUCAAUUCCAUAUGCCACAAGCAAGGAGAACAACUGUGGGACACAGAGUUGGAUGUCAGCUUGCAACAUUAAUGGAAUUUAGCAGCUUGUCUCGCUUUGUGUGUGUGCACAGAAUGGUAGUGCUUGACACAAUUCAAUAACAAGUGUGUAUAUUCAUGCAAGUGUGUGUACCCACAUGCAUGUGAGUGUAUUUAUGUUUGCCAAUGUUUAGGCUGAGCAGUGAUGUGCUGUCAAGGUUGGCACCUGUAUUGUAAUGGAGAACAGUAGUGUGAUGGACUGCAACAGGAGCAGCCAGCAGCGUUUCACCUUGGGACAAGGGUCACACUCCUCCCUCAUAAUCCAUAAAGCCGACCAUAAUAGCUUUUGUCCCAGAAGUAACCCUGCUCAAAGUCAAGUAGAACAAUAUGGCCGAGGUGGGCCCCUCGACAUUGGACGUCUGCAUAGCCAUGACCUGGGAAAUACACACACACACACACACACACACACACACACACACACACACACACACACACACACACACACACACACACACACACACACACACACACACACACACACACACACACACACACACA